AGAACGAACGCUGGCGGCGUGCUUAACACAUGCAAGUCGAACGCGAAAGUACCGCUUCGGUGGUACAAGUAGAGUGGCGCACGGGUGAGUAACGCGUAGGUAAUCUACCCUUAUAUUUGGGAUAACAUACCGAAAGGUCUGCUAAUACCGGAUACGCUUAAUAAUACGCGAGUAUGAUUAAGGAAAGGUAACCACUGAUAUAAGUUAUCGUAUAAGGAUGAGCCUGCGUACCAUUAGCUGGUUGGUGGGGUAACGGCCUACCAAGGCAACGAUGGUUAGCGGGUCUGAGAGGAUGAUCCGCCACACUGGAACUGGAACACGGACCAGACUCCUACGGGAGGCAGCAGUGAGGAAUAUUGCGCAAUGGGGGAAACCCUGACGCAGCGACGCCGCGUGGGUGAUGAAGGCUUUCGGGUCGUAAAGCCCUGUCAAGUGGGAAGAAAUGCAUGCAGGUAAAUAGUCUGUGUGUUUGACGGUACCACUAGAGGAAGCACCGGCUAACUCCGUGCCAGCAGCCGCGGUAAUACGGAGGGUGCGAGCGUUGUUCGGAAUUA
rnacentral:rRNA from 1 species